rnacentral:rRNA from 1 species
CGGGACGGGUGAGUAAUGUCUGGGAAACUGCCUGAUGGAGGGGGAUAAUACUGGAAACGGUAGCUAAUACCGCAUAACGUCGCAAGACCAAAGAGGGGGACCUUCGGGCCUCUUGCCAUCGGAUGUGCCCAGAUGGGAUUAGCUAGUAGGUGGGGUAACGGCUCACCUAGGCGACGAUCCCUAGCUGGUCUGAGAGGAUGACCAGCCACACUGGAACUGAGACACGGUCCAG